rnacentral:misc_RNA from 1 species
UCCGGCUUACACCGGCGGUCUCCUGUGAGUCCCCGACUCUACUCGCUGGUAACACAGGACGAGGGUUGCGCUCGUUGGCGGACUUAACCGUACACCUCACGGCACGAGCUGACGACAGCCAUGCAACAAGUGUCUUCACGUCCCCCUUUUGGGGGGAGGGCCCUAUCUCUAAGGCUUGCGAUCGAUGUCAAACCUGGGUAAGGUUCUUCGGUUAGUAUCGAAUUAAUCCACAUGCUCCACCGCUUGUGCGGGUCCCCGUCAAUUCAUUUGAGUUUCAACCUUGCGGCCGUACUCCCCAGGCGGGAUACUUAAUGCGUUAGCUGCGGCACUGGAGGGGUCGAUACCUCCAACGCCUAGUAUCCAUCGUUUAGGGCGUGGACUAC